rnacentral:rRNA from 1 species
UGGGGAAUUUUGGACAAUGGGGGCAACCCUGAUCCAGCAAUGCCGCGUGUGUGAAGAAGGCCUUCGGGUUGUAAAGCACUUUUGUCCGGGAAGAAAUCGCACCUGAUAAUACCGGGUGUGGAUGACGGUACCGGAAGAAUAAGGACCGGCUAACUACGUGCCAGCAGCCGCGGUAAUACGUAGGGUCCAAGCGUUAAUCGGAAUUACUGGGCGUAAAGCGUGCGCAGGCUGUUGUGCAAGACCGAUGUGAAAUCCCCGGGCUUAACCUGGGAAUUGAAUUUGUGACUGCACGGCUAGAGUGUGUCAGAGGGGGGUAGAAUUCCACGUGUAGCAGUGAAAUGCGUAGAGAUGUGGAGGAAUACCGAUGGCGAAGGCAGCCCCCUGGGAUAACACGGACGCUCAUGCACGAAAGCGUGGGGAGCAAACAGG